UUCUAUAAAAUUAUAGAACAUUUUAUGCUAAAACUAGUAACAAGAGCUUACCCCUCUCUACAAUGCAAGUAUAAGCCAGCAAGAACUCAUCACUGGCAAAUAGCAGGCCUAAAUUCAAGUAGCAACCCCCCCCCCCCCGAAAACACUACCCACCUUAACUGUUAACCUAACACUAGAGCAUUACAAGAAAGAUUAAAAGGGGGAGAAGGAAUUCCGCAAAUAUUAGUUCCGCCUGUUUACCAAAAACAUCGCCUCUUGUAAAUCAAUAAGAGGUCUAGCCUGCCCAGUGACUCUGUUCAACGGCCGCGGUAUCCUAACCGUGCAAAGGUAGCGUAAUCACUUGUCCCCUAAAUAGAGACUAGUAUGAAAGGCAUCACGAGAACUAAACUGUCUCCUCCCCCUAAUCAGUGAACCUAAUAGCCCCGUGAAGAAGCGGGGAUCUCAAUAUAAGACGAGAAGACCCUAUGGAGCUUAAAACACUACAUCACCUGCCACCCACUUAUUUACCUCGGCACACUGAUUAUAUGUUUUUGGUUGGGGUGACCGCGGAGAAAAACCUAUCCUCCGCAAUGAGGGAGUCCUCCCUAAACAAUAAGUCACAACUUUAUGUAUCAGAAAACUGACAUUAUUGACCCAAUAUAUUUGAUUAACGAACCAAGUUACCCUAGGGAUAACAGCGCAAUCCACUUCAAGAGCUCCUAUCGAC
rnacentral:rRNA from 1 species